rnacentral:rRNA from 1 species
GGACGGGUGAGUAAUACAUCGGAACGUGUCCUAAAGUGGGGGAUAACGCAUCGAAAGAUGUGCUAAUACCGCAUAAUCUCUGAGGAGAAAAGUAGGGGAUCGAAAGACCUUAUGCUUUUGGAGCGGCUGAUGUCUGAUUAGCUAGUUGGUAAGGUUAUGGCUUACCAAGGCGACGAUCAGUAGUUGGUCUGAGAGGACGACCAGCCACACUGGGACUGAGACACGGCCCAGACUCCCACGGGAGGCAGCAGUGGGGAAUUUUGGACAAUGGGCGCAAGCCUGAUCCAGCAAUGCCGCGUGAGUGAAGAAGGCCUUCGGGUUGUAAAGCUCUUUCAGUUGAAAAGAAAAAGUCGUGACUAAUAAUCAUGGCUCAUGACGGUAUCAACAGAAGAAGCACCGGCUAACUACGUGCCAGCAGCCGCGGUAAUACGUAGGGUGCAAGCGUUAAUCGGAAUUACUGGGCGUAAAGGGUGCGCAGGCGGUUCUGUAAGUCAGAUGUGAAAUCCCCGGGCUUAACCUGGGAACUGCGUUUGAAACUGCAGAGCUAGAGUGCGGCAGAGGGAGGUGGAAUUCCAUGUGUAGCAGUGAAAUGCGUAGAGAUAUGGAAGAACAUCGAUGGCGAAGGCAACCUCCUGGGCUAGCACUGACGCUCAUGCACGAAAGCGUGGGGAGCAAACAGGAUUAGAUACCCUGGUAGUCCACGCCCUAAACUAUGUCAACUAGUUGUCGGGUCUUAAUAGACUUGGUAACGUAGCUAACGCGUGAAGU